rnacentral:tRNA from 1 species
GCGCCCAUAGCUCAGCGGAUCAGAGCGGCUGACUACGGAUCAGCAGGUCGGGGGUUCAAAUCCUCCUGGGCGCACCA